rnacentral:rRNA from 1 species
UACGUAGGGUGCGAGCGUUAAUCGGAAUUACUGGGCGUAAAGCGUGCGCAGGCGGUUUUGUAAGUCAGGUGUGAAAUCCCCGGGCUCAACCUGGGAAUGGCAUUUGGGACUGCAAGGCUGGAGUGCGGCAGAGGAGACUGGAAUUCCUGGUGUAGCAGUGAAAUGCGUAGAUAUCAGGAGGAAUACCGAUGGCGAAGGCAGGUCUCUGGGCUGACACUGACGCUCAUGCACGAAAGCGUGGGGAGCAAACAGG